rnacentral:rRNA from 1 species
UGGGGAAUAUUGCACAAUGGGCGAAAGCCUGAUGCAGCGACGCCGCGUGCGGGAUGAAGGCCUUCGGGUUGUAAACCGCUUUUAAUUGGGAGCAAGCGAGAGUGAGUGUACCUUUUGAAUAAGCACCGGCUAACUACGUGCCAGCAGCCGCGGUAAUACGUAGGGUGCAAGCGUUAUCCGGAAUUAUUGGGCGUAAAGAGCUCGUAGGCGGUUUGUCACGCCUGGUGUGAAAGUCCAUCGCUUAACGGUGGAUCUGCGCCGGGUACGGGCAGGCUAGAGUGCAGUAGGGGAGAUUGGAAUUCCCGGUGUAACGGUGGAAUGUGUAGAUAUCGGGAAGAACACCAAUGGCGAAGGCAGAUCUCUGGGCUGUUACUGACGCUGAGGAGCGAAAG